UUGAAAAAAAAGAAAGAAAGAAAAAACUAAAAGCUUCCUUCCCCCUCCGUAGGGAUCGGCCGUUCCUCAAUCUUCUCCGUUUUCUUCUUAUUAUCAUUCCCUCUCUCAUUUCCAUUUCGGCAUUUCCUAAUUCCCUUUUAUCUCUUUCUACUUGCUCGCCUUCUAUUCUUUGUCUCAACCCAUCUUUGCUCUCACGGAUUAACACAAUAUUGAGGGGUGGCUUUCGACUAAAGGGAAGAUAUUGUGUGCAAAAGUCUUCUGAAGUCCUUGUCUUGGGAGAUCAGCUGCUUUAAGCUGAAAAGGAACGGUUCUUCUAUUUGAUAACCCAAGAAAAAAAACAAAAACAAAAAAAAUAAAAACAUGGCAGUAAAACCAACAGUUGCCUUGCGAGCUGUACUUGUUGGAGGAAUUGCAGCGUUUGCUAAACUCGCUGGCGCAAUGAAAGCUGCUGGUGGUGCAAAGUUAGGUGCAGCCACUGCUGCCAUGACAGCAGCAGCAACUGCAGCUUUGGCAGGAACAAAACAAGACCAGAAGGAUGAUUCUAAACACUCUCCAAAACAAAACUAAUCCUCAACGAUGUAAUGGUACAUUUUGUCUUUUUUGUCUUCUUUGUAAUUUCUGUAGGGAAGAUCUAAUGUAUAAACCCAACCCCCCAACCCUGGAAAGGCUUCAGCCAAAGCCAUGGUGCUGAAAAAAUAAACACUGGCCAGAUUUAUUUUAGUUUGCCGGAUUGAUGGACUUUAUGUCACAUUGUUUACCUUCCAUUACUAUUAUACAUGGAAUGUUUUUUAA